GCCUGGGUAGCUCAGUCAGUUAAGCAUCUGACUUCGGCUCAGGUCAUGAUCUCGCAGUUUGUGAGUUCGAGCCCCACAUCGGGCU
rnacentral:tRNA from 1 species